AUAUAUAUAUAUAUAUAUAGAGUAGGGCUAGAAUACUUGUAAAAGCAUCAUGGGAGUGAUACUUGUGUGUUUUUAGCCCUUGGAUGGAGAGAUGUGAGGUUGAGAUGACGGUGGUAGGUGGUGGUAGGUGGUGGCAGGUGAAAUAGUGUUUAAUCCAAGGGCUAUUAAUAAUCAAAAAGUAGAUCCAAUUGCUUAAAACCUAAUAGCACCAUGAUGGUGAUACUUGUAAAAGUAUCAUAGCUCAACUCUCUAUAUAUAUAUAUAGAGAGAGAGAGAGAGAGAGAGAAAGUAGGGCUAGAAUACUUGUAAAAGUAUCAUGGGGGUGAUACUUGUGUGUUUUUAGCCCUUGGAUGGAGAGAUGUGAGGUUGAGAUGAUGGUGGUAGGUGGUGGUAGGUGGUGGUAGGUGGAAUAGUGUUUAAUCCAAGGGCUAUUAGUAAUCAAAGAGUAGAUCCAAUGGCUUAAAACCUAAUAGCACCACGAUGGUGAUACUUGUAAAAGUAUCAUAGCUCAACUCUCUCUCUCUCUCUCUCUCUCUAUAUAUAUAUAUAGAAUUGAGCUAGAAUACUUUUAAAAGUAUUACCCCAUUGGUGCUUUUAGGUUCUAGCCCUUAGAUCUACUCUUUAAUUACUAAUAGCCCUUGGAUCAAAUACUAUUCCACCUACCACCACCUACCACCACCUACCACCAUCAUCUCAACCUUACAUUCUUUCAUCCAAUGGUUAAAAACUCAAAAGCACCAACCUCAUAAUACUUUUAGAAGUAUUCUAGCUCAACUCAUAUAGAAUUUUAUAUAUAUAUAUAUAUAUAUAUAGAGUCCGGCUACUAUCCUAUUAAUAAGAUAGGAGCACUUGUCCUAUCAAGUCGUUUUGAAUGAUCGGAGCUUCAAAUUGAUAAUCAGCACCGUUGAAAUUGAUCUACACAAUUAGAAAUGUUUAAAAACCAAAUUUUGUAAUAUUUAAAAAUCAUUAUCAAGUUCAUCUUAAGAGUUAAAAAAUGAACCGUCAUAAAUGAAUAAUCUUCUUAAAAUAGAGGUUAGACUUUCUAAAUUCAUAAUCAAAGUUAUAAAAUAUUAUCUAAAUAGUAUAAAGAAUUUUCUAUCAAAAAUUUAAGCAAUUUGGAUUGUUCUACACCGUUAAACAAGCAAACGGCUCAUAUAGGCCGUCAAAAAUUAUUGAUUUUACGACACUUUGAUCACCAUGUAAAUAAUUUUUAAAAUUUAUGAAAUUUAGUUUUUAGAUAUUUCAAAUACUCUAGAUCAACUUCAACGGCUUCGAUCAUCAAUUCGGAAUCUCUAUCAUCAAGAACCAUUUGAUAGGACAAGUGCUACUAUCCUAUUAACGGAGCCGAUCGUUGAAUCGGAUGUCCUAUCAUCGAAAACAACUUACAAGCACGGAAGCCUCCGUACUUUCGAAAGCACAGGAGACCUACUAUAUAUAUAUAUAUAUAGUGUAGUAUACUAUCGGAAGUGUAGAAGAUUUGAUGCUUUCGAUUUUUUGACUAUUGGAUCAAGAAUUAUACUUAUCCAAAUUUUUGCCAACAGAAAGAUAUCUAUUGUAAAUCUAUAUUUUAAUUCAAAAUUUGUUUAAUUUCUUUUUAUUCCUGAAAUAGGAAAAAAUUCAUGCUUAUCCAAAUUUUUGCCAGAAUAUCUGCUGUAAAUCUAUAUUCCAAUUCAAAAUUUAAAAUUAAUUUUAAAUUUUAAAUUUUGGAACUAUCAACAUAUUACAACAAAAAAAAUUUAAAA
rnacentral:lncRNA from 1 species